ensembl:lncRNA
GUGAAAUCCAAAAAUUCAUCACCAAGACCAAUGUCCAGGAGCUUACCACUUAUGUUUUCUUCUAAGAGUUUUGUGAUUUCAGUUAUUAGAUUCAAAUCUUUAAUCCAUUUUGAGUUAGGUUUUGUGUAUGGUAUAAGAUAGAGGUCCAGUUUCAUUCCUUUACAUUUGGCUGUUCAAUUUUCCCAAUACCAUUUAUAGGAGCGAAUGUCCUUUCCCCAUUGUAUCUUCUUGGCUCCUUUGCAUGGACUUAUUUCUAGCCUCACUUGAAAGAAAUCUUAAGACUCACAGAGCAUACUCAUGUAAGGCCUUUACCUAAAGGCCACAGAGGCAGUGCAACAAGAAAAAGAGAAUGCAGACAAACAUUUGGGAUCCUGGGGACUUCCAAGGGCAAUCUCCCCAGGGUUCUUAUUCACACAUCACCUGCGUUCUGCCUUCAGAUUAAACUACCAAGAUCUGUGUAAGGACUUGUAGUUCUGGGGAAGCUCAAGAAAGAAGUUUCCCUCUGAGUUUUUAUUCCCCACUGGUCAUGUUUUCAAGUUAGGCUACCUAACUGGUUGUGCCGGGUGAAAACCAUGAGUCAACAAACUGGCCCUAGAGGUUGCCAUGUGAGUUUAAACUUUAAACAGCACAUUAUAAAUUCCACUACUCUUGUCUUUGCCAAGAGUCAAAGGCAGACAACCAAGAGUCCCCAGUGAUAAGACUAUACAUUUUUUUAUCCAGUUCGGCUAUAAGGUUUAACAGGUUUUGGCUAUGUGACAAGAGAGGGAUAAAAGAACACUCAAUAAACUUGUGUCUUGAUUUCUCCAAGACUGAGAUACUGCACACACAACGUGAUGGUUCAUGUUCCAGAGACAGAGCAUGUCCUGCAUGAUUGGAAGAAGACCCUGGAAGAUAUGCAUGGACGUCUAGGAUCUUCCUGAUGUUUACCUGUGCUUUCUUUCUCCUGUGGUAUCAGAUCUUUUGCCUUUAUUAAAACUUCACUUAAGUAUAAUUUUGGAGUUUUUGAUUCCUUUCACUUGUAUAACCCUGUAUAAUUGCUGAAGCUUUCUUAAUAGUUUUGAUGCAGGAGGCAGGCAGAACAUAGCAAGACUUAAGUUGUAAUGGGGAAAGAAUCUGCAAUCACUUAUGUUAGCUGGGAGAGGGAGAUAAUUUAGUUAUUUUUGUAGUUUUCACAGUGUUCCGAUUUUUGUCUGUGCUUAGCUAUGAUUAAGGAGUGGUCUCGUUUUUGUCUCACUCUAUCAUGGUUCCAGAGUGACGUUGUGUAAUGUUUGUAUUCUGUGAAAUUAUAAUGUUAAGCAGGGCACACUGGCUAAGAGCUCUCAGGGAUGAAGAACCCUCAGGGAUGCUUUUUUCUAUCUUAAUUUCCUGUUUUUGGUUAAAGGCAGAUGAAUUCAAAUAUCUUCUCCCAAUUGUUAGGUUGUCUUUUCGUUUUGUUGAUGGUUUCCUUUGCUGUGCAAAAGAUUUUUAGUUUGAUGUAGUCCCAUUUGUUCAUUUUUUCUUUUGUUUCUCUUGCCCAGUCAGACAUGGUACUUGAAAAUAUGCUGCUAACACUGACGUCAAAUUGCGUACUGCCUAUGUUUUCUUCUAGAAGUUUCACGGUUUUGGGUCUUAUAUUCAAGUCUUUAAUCCAUUUUGAGUUGAUUUUUGUGCAUGAUGUAAGAUAAUGGUCUUCUUUCAUUCUUUUGCAUGUGGCUGUCCAGUUUUCCCAACGUAAUUUAUUGAAGAGACUCUCCUUUCUCCAUUGUAUGCUCUUGGCUCCAUUGUCAAAUAUUAACUGUCCAUAAAUGUGUGGUUAUUUCUGGGCUCUUGGUUCAGUUCCAUUUAUCUGUGUGUCUGUUUUUGUGCCAGUACCAUGCUGUUUUGCCUACUAUAGCUUUGUAUUAUAUUUUGAAAUCAGGGAUUGUGAUACUUCCAGCUUUGUUCUUUUUCCUCAGGAUUCCUUUGGCUAUUUGGGGACUUUUGUUUUUCCAUAUAAAUUUUAGGAUUCUCUGUUCUAUUUCUGUGAAAAAUGUUAUUGGAACUUUGAUCAAGAUUGCAUUGAAACCUAUAGAUUGUUUUGGGAAGUAUGAACAUUUUAACUAUAUUAUUUCUUCUAAUCCGAGGGCAUGGAAUAUCUUUCCAUUUCUUGGUGUCGUCUUCAAUUUCUUUCAACAAUGUUUUCUAUUUUCAGUGUAAGGAUCUUUCACCUCUUUAGUUAAGUUUUUUCCUAGGUAUUUUAUUCUUUUUGUUGAAAUAGUAAAUGGGAUUGUAUUCUUAAUUUCUCUUUCUGCUGCUUCAUUAUUAAUGUAUAGAAGUGCAACCAAUUUUUGUAUGUUGAUUCUGUA